CCUUACCUACUCUUGACAUCCAGAGAACUUAGCAGAGAUGCUUUGGUGCCUUCGGGAACUCUGAGACAGGUGCUGCAUGGCUGUCGUCAGCUCGUGUUGUGAAAUGUUGGGUUAAGUCCCGCAACGAGCGCAACCCUUAUCCUUUGUUGCCAGCGGUUCGGCCGGGAACUCAAAGGAGACUGCCAGUGAUAAACUGGAGGAAGGUGGGGAUGACGUCAAGUCAUCAUGGCCCUUACGAGUAGGGCUACACACGUGCUACAAUGGCAUAUACAAAGAGAAGCGACCUCGCGAGAGCAAGCGGACCUCAUAAAGUAUGUCGUAGUCCGGAUUGGAGUCUGCAAC
rnacentral:rRNA from 1 species